CCUACGGGAGGCAGCAGUGGGGCAUAUUGCACAAUGGGGGAAACCCUGAUGCAGCAACGCCGCGUGAAGGAAGACGGUUUUCGGAUUGUAACCUUCUGUUCUUAGUGAAGAAUAAUGACGGUAGCUAAGGAGCAAGCCACGGCUAACUACGUGCCAGCAGCCGCGGUAAUACGUCGGUGGCACGCGUUGUCCGGAAUUACUGGGUGUAAAGGGAGCGCGGGCGGGAGGCCAAGUCAGCGGUGAGAACUACGGGCUGACCUGGUGGACUGCGGUUGAAACUGGUUUUCUUGGGGAAGGUAGGGGUUGGCGAAGUCCGAGUGUAGCGGUGAAAUGCGUAGAUAUUCGGAGGAACACCGGUGGCGAAGGCGGCCAACUGGGCUUUAACUGACGCUGAGGCUCGAAAGUGUGGGGAGCAAACAGGAUUAGAUACCCGAGUAGUC
rnacentral:rRNA from 1 species